rnacentral:lncRNA from 1 species
AAAAACCUUGCAUAAUGCAUCACAUUGUCUUUCAUGGUAGGAGCAUGCAUAUAAGGUAGGCGUUGCACUAGAAAACUCUUCAUUUUCCCUUUCCCCUCUUGAACUUUUUGAACUUUUGUCUUCUUUUCAUCACUCUUUUUCUUUUCUAACCCUUCUUUUUCAAUUUUAUUCAUUUUCAACUAAUUCUUCCUUUUUAUUUUCUUGUUCUACUUCCCUCUCACCUUCUUCAUUUUCUCCUUCUUGUUUUUCUGUCACAACUUCUUUUUUUCCAAUAUUAUCACCAAUGCCUUUUCCAACUUCUUUGC